CUGGGCCAGCGCGCAUGCGUCGGCAGGUAGCAACCCAGCUCUUUAUGACCAGGUGAGAUGUUGGUGAGCAGGUAAAAAAGGAGGAUUUGCCUAAGCGAUUCCAGGGAGCGGGCCCGACCGAGCCCUCCAGCCCAUGCCCGGCGGGGACCAGUCGCCAGGAGCUCCGAGCCGCGAUGUCCAUACUUGCCAAAAUGGGGGACUGGCAGGCCGCGGGCACCACAAGGCAUCCAAGGCUUGGCUCCUGUCCUUCCUGAGCCCCGGAUUCCGACCCUGGCCAAGGAAGCAUUUGUCCAGCGCUCUCUUUCCAACUUCCAGACACUUUCCCUUCGGGAAACAGAGCGGCUCUGGCCAGGUUGGUGGCGGUAAAAGGCUCUGCCUGUCGCCGAUUUCAUCAUCAGAACCGCGAGGCCCUGUUUUCGCCCCAACCAAGAGGCCUGGUUAGGGUGAGAUUCUGUGUGCCCAAAAGCCCGGGGAACAAUUCGAAUCUAAUGCCCUGAACUUCCCCCCCCAAAAUCUGAGGCCUUGCUACUUCUGGUCGAGUUAUUUCUCUUGUUUCAGAUUUAGGCCAUUAAAAGUAAAGUUCUGAGAAGUGCAGUCUUCAGUAAGCUACCUGGAGUUGGAGAAAGGCCUUUUGCCUUCUGUACUUUUUUCCCUUGUAUUUAUUACUUUUAUCAAGAGUGAGCUCUUUUAUAUUCUUCU
rnacentral:sRNA from 1 species